UACGUAGGGUCCGAGCGUUGUCCGGAAUUACUGGGCGUAAAGAGCUCGUAGGCGGUCUGUCGCGUCGGUCGUGAAAACUUGGGGCUUAACCCUGAGCUUGCGGUCGAUACGGGCAUGACUGGAGUUCGGCAGGGGAGACUGGAAUUCCUGGUGUAGCGGUGAAAUGCGCAGAUAUCAGGAGGAACACCGGUGGCGAAGGCGGGUCUCUGGGCAACAACUGACGCUGAGGAGCGAAAGCGUGGGGAGCGAACAGG
rnacentral:rRNA from 1 species